GUACUCACUUCAGCAGCGCAUAUACUAAAAUUUGAACAAUACAGAGAAGAUUAGCAUGGCCCCGUGCAAGGAUGACAUGCAAAUUAGUGAAACAUUUCAUAUUUUU